UACGGAGGGUGCAAGCGUUAUCCGGAAUCACUGGGUUUAAAGGGUGCGUAGGCGGUCUGAUAAGUCAGUUGUGAAAUUCCUCGGCUUAACCGAGUGGACUGCGAUUGAUACUGUCAGACUUGAAUCAGGUUGAGGUAGGCGGAAUGUGACAUGUAGCGGUGAAAUGCUUAGAUAUGUCAUAGAACACCGAUUGCGAAGGCAGCUUGCUGGGCUUAGAUUGACGCUGAGGCACGAAAGCGUGGGGGAGCAAACAGG
rnacentral:rRNA from 1 species